GAUGAACGCUGACAGAAUGCUUAACACAUGCAAGUCUUUGGCGAAGCUGUGCUCGCCCAGCCUAGCCAAGGCGGACGGGUGAGUAACGCGUAAGGAACUUGCCCUGCAGUCAGGGAUAACAGACGGAAACGACUGAUAAGACCUGGUAAAGUCAGGCGGACUCAUGUCCAGCCUGAUGAAAAGAGAUGCUGCAGGAGAGCCUUGCGUCCUAUUAGCUUGUUGGUGGGGUAACGGCCCACCAAGGCGAUGAUAGGUAGCCGGCCUGAGAGGGUGGACGGCCACAAGGGGACUGAGAUACGGCCCUGACUCCUACGGGAGGCAGCAGUGGGGAAUAUUGGACAAUGGGGGCAACCCUGAUCCAGCAAUUCUGUGUGCACGAUGAAGGUUUUCGGAGUGUAAAGUGCUUUCAGCAGGGAAGAAAAAAAUGACGGUACCUGCAGAAGAAGCGACGGCUAAAUACGUG
rnacentral:rRNA from 1 species